UUGAAUGGAGCCAGUAGAGCCAAGUGUGGCUUGUGGGCCAAAUUUUGUGUCAUGUUGAUAAUGGUCCAUAAAUUUGUAUAAUUGCUGUGACGAUGUACUGGCUGUCUGAAUGUCUGGAUGCCUUGUCUACACAUCACCGGAUACACGGACUCAUUCAUACAAGGUUUCCACAAUGGGUUGCUAUAUCACACGACUAUACUCGUAUGUACUUGCAGCCCGUUUUACGAUUGUGAUUGCUAUUAUGGCCCGGCCCUCGAAUUCAACCUUUUAUCCGCAAUAAAAUGGAGGAGCCUGGCGGAAUGCUUUUAAUUUUCUGGACCUCGACCCGCUCCUUAAGUGCCUCUUCGC
ensembl:ncRNA lncRNA:CR45444 long non-coding RNA:CR45444